CUAGGCUCCGCUCUGACCAAGCCUGAUGGGAGGAGUCCAGGAGGCCUUGUAAACUCAGGAAUGUGCUAGCUUCCUGCAAAUUGCAAUUUUGGCUAAAUGACUUUGCUGCUUGUUGAAAACAUUGCCCCAGGGCUGACAUUUAACUCCUUUCAGGGCCUAUUAUUUCCCUGCACAAGCCUGCAAGUUUGAAGCUGUCAGGGAACAAUCAGCCCCUUUGCUGUGAGGGCUGGGCCUCCCAGUAUCUUUAGAAUCCAGUCUGUUUUAGGGAGGGGACAGCAUGAUUCUGCAUGACAAACUGGGUGGGCUUGUGCCCAGGGGUUUCUCAAAGAGGUAGGAGGAAAUGGGCAGAGCUCAGGGCAUCUGUCCUCCUGGCCCUGCCAGCUCCCCAUAUGCUCUGGGCACCCUUUGUUUGGGGCUCUAUGCAUCAGAGGCCUGGAGGCAGAGAACUACUCUGUGCUCUUCACUGUUCCAAACAGAGGGCUGGACACAGGAACACAUUCCACAUGCAUUUAAUAGACACAUUCCAGGAUGGGGAGAGAAGGCCCUUGCUUUCAGCAAACAGCUUAUAAGCAUCAUGAAACAGGCAGACUGAGAACCUAGGAGACCCAGACUCCUCAUUUCUUCAUGAGGGCUGGGGAAGGAACAGAUGCAGGUGUGUGUGUGUGUGUGUGUGUGUGGUUCCUAAAGAAAGAGGGUUCCAGGAGCAGUCUGGCUUGACUGAGUGGGGUUUAGCUAGAGUGCCAGUCUUCCCAGCAGCACAGGUGGGCCAGCUGGAGGGGAGAGAAGGGGAAGAAGAAGGACCCCAGGUGUCCCUGAAGGUGCAGACAGGUGAGGCUAGUGGAGGGAGCUGGUUUGCAGGCAGGGUAAAGGGGCAGUGUGACUCCAUUUCAGUGCUUGUAGCUCUUCCGGCUAGAGGAAGUGGUG